GGAUGUGAGGGCAAUCUGGCUGUGACAUCUGUCACCCUCUUGGUCACCAGGAUUGAUAUGGCUGGCUAGAUGGGUGUCCAGCUCUUCCUUCUCCCAUGUGCCUCCAUCCCAAAGCUGUGUGCCCUGUCAGAGAGGACGAGCUUCCCCCAUAAAGGAGGACAGGUUCCUGGUCAAGUGUACCCUUGUAGCUGGGCUCGCCUGCUAGAGCCUCCAGACAGGAAGUCAUCUCAACUCACAUUUACCAGAAACCAGGU
rnacentral:sRNA from 1 species